rnacentral:misc_RNA from 1 species
GAUGAAGAACGCAGCGAAAUGCGAUAAGUAAUGUGAAUUGCAGAAUUCAGUGAAUCAUCGAAUCUUUGAACGCACAUUGCGCCCGCCAGUAUUCUGGCGGGCAUGCCUGUUCGAGCGUCAUUACAACCCUCAGGCCCCCGGGCCUGGCGUUGGGGAUCGGCGGAGCCCCCCGUGGGCACACGCCGUCCCCCAAAUACAGUGGCGGUCCCGCCGCAGCUUCCAUCGCGUAGUAGCUAACACCUCGCGACUGGAGAGCGGCGCGGCCACGCCGUAAAACACCCAACUCUUCUGAAGUUGACCUCGAAUCAGGUAGGAAUACCCGCUGAACUUAAGCAUAUCAUAAGCGGAGGA